rnacentral:rRNA from 1 species
AAAUUGAAGAGUUUGAUCAUGGCUCAGAUUGAACGCUGGCGGCAGGCCUAACACAUGCAAGUCGAACGGUAACAGGAAGCAGCUUGCUGCUUCGCUGACGAGUGGCGGACGGGUGAGUAAUGUCUGGGAAACUGCCUGAUGGAGGGGGAUAACUACUGGAAACGGUGGCUAAUACCGCAUAACGUCGCAAGACCAAAGAGGGGGACCUUCGGGCCUCUUGCCAUCAGAUGUGCCCAGAUGGGAUUAGCUUGUUGGUGAGGUAACGGCUCACCAAGGCGACGAUCCCUAGCUGGUCUGAGAGGAUGACCAGCCACACUGGAACUGAGACACGGUCCAGACUCCUACGGGAGGCAGCAGUGGGGAAUAUUGCACAAUGGGCGCAAGCCUGAUGCAGCCAUGCCGCGUGUAUGAAGAAGGCCUUCGGGUUGUAAAGUACUUUCAGCGGGGAGGAAGGUGUUGUGGUUAAUAACCGCAGCAAUUGACGUUACCCGCAGAAGAAGCACCGGCUAACUCCGUGCCAGCAGCCGCGGUAAUACGGAGGGUGCAAGCGUUAAUCGGAAUUACUGGGCGUAAAGCGCACGCAGGCGGUCUGUCAAGUCGGAUGUGAAAUCCCCGGGCUCAACCUGGGAACUGCAUUCGAAACUGGCAGGCUUGAGUCUUGUAGAGGGGGGUAGAAUU